UUUUGUUUUUUAGGCACACGGUGGAUGCCUGGGCAUGGCAAGCUGAUGAAGGACGUGGUGGGCUGCGUUAAGCCUCGGGGAGUUGCCGUAUGAGCGUUGAUCCGAGGGUGUCCGAAUGGGGUAACCUAGCUUUCAGUGAUGGGAGUUACUGUCUGGUGAAUUCAUAGUCAGGCAGGAGUGGUCAGGGAAGUGAAACAUCUUAGUACCUGGUGUGAGAAGAAAACAAUUGUGAUUUUGUGAGUAGUGGCGAACGAAAGCGAAUUUUUGACUAAACUGCAUGCAGCGUUGAUGCCUUGGUUGGGGUGUUGUGUGUGGGGUUGUGGGGUCUGCGUGGGUGGUCAACCUUUUGCCGCCAGUGGCCGUGCGCGUGUAGCGGAAGUGGUGUGGAAUCGCCUGCCGGAGUGGGUGAGAGUCCCGUACGUGAAAUGUGUGUGUGGCCUCGUGCGUGGUGUCCCCGAGUAGCAGUGGGCUCGUGGAAUCUGCUGUGAAUCUGCCGGGACCGUCCGGUAAGUCUGAUUUCUUGCCUAUGACCGAUAGUGGAUUAGUACCGUGAGGGAAUGGUGAAAAGUACCCCGGGAGGGGAGUGAAAUAGUUCCUGAAACCGUGUGUUGACAAUCCGUCAGAGCCUUUUUGUGGGCGAUGGCGUGCCUUUUGAAGAAUGAGCCUGCGAGUCAGCGGCAUGUCGCUUGUAGUUAACCCUUUGUUGGGGGUAGCUGGAGGGAAACCGAAUCCUAAGUAGGGUGUUGGUGGCAUGUUCUGGACCCGAAGCGGGGUGAUCUACCCAUGGCCAGUGUGAAGCAAGGGUAAGACUUUGUGGAGGCGCGAACCCACGUAGGUUGAAAACUGCGGGGAUGAGUUGUGGGUAGGGGUGAAAGGCCAAUCAAACUCCGUGAUAGCUGGUUCUCCCCGAAAUGCAUUUAGGUGCAGCGUUAUAGUAGUGCUGUGGAGGUAGAGCUACUGGUUGAUUGAGCGGGAUUUUGUCUUAGUGACGUCAGCCAAACUCCGAAUGCCGCAUGUAUGUUCUAUGGCAGUGAGACUGCGGGGGAUAAGCUUCGUAGUCGAGAGGGAAACAGCCCAGAUCGCCGGUUAAGGCCCCUAAGGGUGUGCUAAGUGGAAAAGGAUGUGUAAUCGCGAUGACAGCCAGGAGGUUGGCUUAGAAGCAGCCAUCCUUGAAAGAGUGCGUAAUAGCUCACUGGUUUAGUGGUUGUGCGCCGACAAUGUAGUGGGGCUGAAGUACACCGCCGAAACCGCGGCAAGGAUAAUUUUUUUGUUUUUGGGUAGGGGAGCGUCGUGCAUGGUGUGAAGCAGGCUGGUGACGGUUUGUGGAUGUGUGUGCGAGUGAGAAUGCAGGCAUGAGUAGCGAAUGGUAGGUGAAAAUCCUACCCGCCGGAUGACUAAGGGUUCCUGGGUGAAGCUGGUCUUCCCAGGGUGAGUCGGGACCUAAGGCGAGGCCGACAGGCGUAGUCGAUGGAUAACCAGUUGAUAUUCUGGUACCCGCGUUUGUGCGACAAGUGGUGAAUCAUUGAUACUAACCGCUUUCAUGCAUUUCCGAUGGCAGGACUUUGUUCUGCUGGUUGUGUGUGGUGGUGGGACCUGAGGUGGUAGUAGCCAAGUGAUGGGGUGACACAGUAGGGUAGCCGCGCCACUGAGUGGAUUGUGGUGUAAGCGUGUGGCACGAUGGUUUGUUAAAUGCGACUGUCAUAUGUGUGAGGCGUGAUGCGUAGCCCUUUUAAGGGUGAUGGUGGUGAUCCUGUGCUGUCGAGAAAAGCCUCUAGCGAGUGCAAGUGUGGCCCGUACCCUAAACCGACACAGGUGGUCAGGUUGAGAAUACUAAGGCGAACGGGUGAACUAUGGUUAAGGAAUUCGGCAAAAUGCCCCCGUAACUUCGGGAGAAGGGGGACCCAUGACCGUUGCUGACAGCAUUUUGGCGGUUGUGGGGCGCAGAGAAUAGAGGGAAGCGACUGUUUACCAAAAACAUAGGUCUGUGCGAAGAAGGUUAAUUCGAUGUAUACGGACUGACGCCUGCCCGGUGCUGGAAGGUUAAGAGGACCUGUUAGAUCAUUUUUUGGUCGAAGCGGAGAAUUUAAGCCCCAGUAAACGGCGGUGGUAACUAUAACCAUCCUAAGGUAGCGAAAUUCCUUGUCGGGUAAGUUCCGACCUGCACGAAUGGCGUAAC
rnacentral:rRNA from 1 species